CCAGUUGCCAUAUGCUUGUCUCAAGAAAGCCAUGCAUGUGUAAGUUGAACAUCUCGAAUAGUGAAACCGCGAAUGGCUCAUUAAAUCAGUUAUAAUCUACUUGGUUGCUCAAUACACAAGGAUAACUGCGGUAACCCUGCAGCUAAUACUUGCGAAUUGCGUGUGACCAUUUAUUGGCAUGCGUUACUUUUAUUAGAGAAACCUGCGACGGGUAAGCUACCGCGUAUUCACGUGGCGAGCUCUGAAUAACUGAAGGAUGCCUAUAGCCUUUGAGCUGGGCACGAACAUCCGAGUAUCUGACCUAUCAACUUCUGACGGUAGUGUAACGGACUACCGUGGUUGUAACGGGUAACGGGGAAUCAUGGGUUCGAUUCCGGAGAGGGAGCCUGAGACGGCUACCACACCUACGGGCAGGCAGCAGGCGCCGAAAUUACCCAAUCCACAUGAGGUAGUAAAAAUAACGAAUCAUGAACCCUUACGGGUUUGUGAUUGAAUGAGA
rnacentral:rRNA from 1 species